rnacentral:rRNA from 1 species
UACGUAGGGGGCAAGCGUUGUCCGGAAUCACUGGGCGUAAAGGGCGCGUAGGCGGCGCGGGAAGCGGGCGGUGAAAGCCCGGGGCUCAACCCCGGGUCGGCCGUGCGAACUCCCGGGCUCGAGCACUGUAGGGGCAGGCGGAAUUCCGGGUGUAGCGGUGGAAUGCGUAGAGAUCCGGAAGAACACCGGUGGCGAAGGCGGCCUGCUGGGCAGUGGCUGACGCUGAGGCGCGACAGCGUGGGGAGCAAACAGG